GUGCUUGCUUUGCAGCACAUACACUAAAAUUGGAAUGAUACAGGGAAGAUUAAUUAGCAUGGCCCCUGAGUAAGGAUGACACGCAAAUUUGUGAAGUGUUCUGUAUUUUU
rnacentral:snRNA from 1 species